CAGCACGGACUUCGUGCUGGUGGCGAGUGGCGAACGGGUGAGUAAUGUAUCGGAACGUGCCCAGUAGCGGGGGAUAACUACGCGAAAGUCCCGUAGCUAAUACCGCAUACGCCCUACGGGGGAAAGCAGGGGAUCGCAAGACCUUGCACUAUUGGAGCGGCCGAUAUCGGAUUAGCUAGUUGGUGGGGUAACGGCUCACCAAGGCGACGAUCACGUAGCUGGUUUGAGAGGACGACCAGCCACACUGGGACUGAGACACGGCCCAGACUCCUACGGGAGGCAGCAGUGGGGAAUUUUGGACAAUGGGGGCAAACCCUGAUCCAGCCAUCCCGCGUGUGCGAUGAAGGCCUUCGGGUUGUAAAGCACUUUUGGCAGGAAAGAAACGUCGUGGGUUAAUACCCCGCGGAACUGACGGUACCUGCAGAAUAAGCACCGGCUAACUACGUGCCAGCAGCCGCGGUAAUACGUAGGGUGCAAGCGUUAAUCGGAAUUACUGGGCCUAAAGCGUGCUGCAGGCGGUUCGGAAAGAAAGAUGUGAAAUCCCAGAGCUUAACUUUGGAACUGCAUUUUUAACUACCGGGCUAGAGUGUGUCAGAGGGAGGUGGAAUUCCGCGUGUAGCAGUGAAAUGCGUAGAUAUGCGGAGGAACACACGAUGGCGAAGGCAGCCUCCUGGGAUAACACUGACGCUCAUGCACGAAAGCGUGGGGAGCAAACAGGAUUGAGAUACCCUGGUAGUCCACGCCCUAAACGAUGUCAACUAGCUGUUGGGGCCUUCGGGCCUUGGUAGCGCAGCUACACGCGUGAAGUUGACCGCCUGGGGAGUACGGUCGCAAGAUUAAAACUCAAAGGAAUUGACGGGGACCCGCACAAGCGGUGGAUGAUGUGGAUUAAUUCGAUGCAACGCGAAAAACCUUACCUACCCUUGACAUGUCUGGAAUCCUGAAGAGA
rnacentral:rRNA from 1 species